GACGAACGCUGGCGGCGUGCUUAACACAUGCAAGUCGAGCGGUAAGGCCCUUUCGGGGGUACACGAGCGGCGAACGGGUGAGUAACACGUGGGUGACCUGCCCUCAGCUCUGGGAUAAGCCUGGGAAACCGGGUCUAAUACUGGAUAUGACUCCACGACGCAUGUUGUGGGGUGGAAAGCCUUGUGCGGCUGAGGAUGGGCCCGCGGCCUAUCAGCUUGUUGGUGGGGUGAUGGCCUACCAAGGCGACGACGGGUAGCCGGCCUGAGAGGGCGACCGGCCACACUGGGACUGAGACACGGCCCAGACUCCUACGGGAGGCAGCAGUGGGGAAUCUUGCGCAAUGGGCGAAAGCCUGACGCAGCGACGCCGCGUGAGGGAUGACGGCCUGUGUAAC
rnacentral:rRNA from 1 species